AAAUUUUUUUUUUUGGUUUUUGGAUGCACAGGAACGGUCAGAAGUUCACCGAAAUAAUCAAACUUUUACCCAUACUUUCAACUGCUCGUAACUCCUCAGGAGUGC